rnacentral:rRNA from 1 species
AGACCCGAAACCCGGUGAUCUAGCCAUGGGCAGGUUGAAGGUUGGGUAACACUAACUGGAGGACCGAACCGACUAAUGUUGAAAAAUUAGCGGAUGACCUGUGGCUGGGGGUGAAAGGCCAAUCAAACCGGGAGAUAGCUGGUUCUCCCCGAAAGCUAUUUAGGUAGCGCCUCGUGAAUUCAUCUCCGGGGGUAGAGCACUGUUUCGGCUAGGGGGCCAUCCCGGCUUACCAACCCGAUGCAAACUGCGAAUACCGGAGAAUGUUAUCACGGGAGACACACGGCGGGUGCUAACGUCCGUCGUGAAGAGGGAAACAACCCAGACCGCCAGCUAAGGUCCCAAAGUCAUGGUUAAGUGGGAAACGAUGUGGGAAGGCCCAGACAGCCAGGAUGUUGGCUUAGAAGCAGCCAUCAUUUAAAGAAAGCGUAAUAGCUCACUGGUCGAGUCGGCCUGCGCGGAAGAUGUAACGGGGCUAAACCAUGCACCGAAGCUGCGGCAGCGAACGUAUCACUUAAAGCGAUUCAGCGGGUUACGAUUGACGGAGCGAAGCGACGUCAAAGCGUAUACAAAGUCGAGUCGGUUUAAGGAUACGUUCGUUGGGUAGGGGAGCGUUCUGUAAGCCUGUGAAGGUGGCCUGUGAGGGUUGCUGGAGGUAUCAGAAGUGCGAAUGCUGACAUAAGUAACGAUAAAGCGGGUGAAAAGCCCGCUCGCCGGAAGACCAAGGGUUCCUGUCCAACGUUAAUCGGGGCAGGGUGAGUCGACCCCUAAGGCGAGGCCGAAAGGCGUAGUCGAUGGGAAACGGGUUAAUAUUCCCGUACUUGGUGUUACUGCGAAGGGGGGACGGAGAAGGCUAUGUUGGCCGGGCGACGGUUGUCCCGGUUUAAGCGUGUAGGUGUGUGUUCCAGGUAAAUCCGGUUCACUUUAACACUGAGGCGUGACGACGAGGCACUACGGUGCUGAAGCAACAAAUGCCCUGCUUCCAGGAAAAGCCUCUAAGCAUCAGGUAACAUCAAAUCGUACCCCAAACCGACACAGGUGGUCAGGUAGAGAAUACCAAGGCGCUUGAGAGAACUCGGGUGAAGGAACUAGGCAAAAUGGUGCCGUAACUUCGGGAGAAGGCACGCUGACACGUAGGUGAAGUGAUUUACUCAUGGAGCUGAAGUCAGUCGAAGAUACCAGCUGGCUGCAACUGUUUAUUAAAAACACAGCACUGUGCAAACACGAAAGUGGACGUAUACGGUGUGACGCCUGCCCGGUGCCGGAAGGUUAAUUGAUGGGGUCAGCGCAAGCGAAGCUCCUGAUCGAAGCCCCGGUAAACGGCGGCCGUAACUAUAACGGUCCUAAGGUAGCGAAAUUCCUUGUCGGGUAAGUUCCGACCUGCACGAAUGGCGUAAUGAUGGCCAGGCUGUCUCCACCCGAGACUCAGUGAAAUUGAACUCGCUGUGAAGAUGCAGUGUACCCGCGGCAAGACGGAAAGACCCCGUGAACCUUUACUAUAGCUUGACACUGAACAUUGAGCCUUGAUGUGUAGGAUAGGUGGGAGGCUUUGAAGCGUGGACGCCAGUCUGCGUGGAGCCAACCUUGAAAUACCACCCUUUAAUGUUUGAUGUUCUAACGUGGACCCGUAAUCCGGGUUGCGGACAGUGUCUGGUGGGUAGUUUGACUGGGGCGGUCUCCUCCUAAAGAGUAACGGAGGAGCACGAAGGUUGGCUAAUCCUGGUCGGACAUCAGGAGGUUAGUGCAAUGGCAUAAGCCAGCUUGACUGCGAGCGUGACGGCGCGAGCAGGUGCGAAAGCAGGUCAUAGUGAUCCGGUGGUUCUGAAUGGAAGGGCCAUCGCUCAACGGAUAAAAGGUACUCCGGGGAUAACAGGCUGAUACCGCCCAAGAGUUCAUAUCGACGGCGGUGUUUGGCACCUCGAUGUCGGCUCAUCACAUCCUGGGGCUGAAGUAGGUCCCAAGGGUAUGGCUGUUCGCCAUUUAAAGUGGUACGCGAGCUGGGUUUAGAACGUCGUGAGACAGUUCGGUCCCUAUCUGCCGUGGGCGCUGGAGAACUGAGGGGGGCUGCUCCUAGUACGAGAGGACCGGAGUGGACGCAUCACUGGUGUUCGGGUUGUCAUGCCAAUGGCACUGCCCGGUAGCUAAAUGCGGAAGAGAUAAGUGCUGAAAGCAUCUAAGCACGAAACUUGCCCCGA